CCUCUCACAUUUACUUAUCUUUUGCUAAGUUUUCUAUUGCUUUCAGCCAUUUCACUGAAAUAAUCUUUUCAUCCUUCCUCCACAGGUGGUGCAAACAUUGAUUAUCUGGCACCAAUAGCUGAUCUUGAUUUGUCCUAUGGAGGAGGACACUUCUACACAUAUCACAAGCUCUUCUCUGCAAAGUGCGCUGUACGGGUCACCCAGUGGAACCAAUGCCCCUACUGGGGAGCACUCAACCCUGAUAUCCACAGCAGAGUGCUUCUAGACUGCAGAAACAUCUCGUGCGUGACCUGCAGAUAGCCGACAGCCCUGCAACAACUUUUACAUUGGGAAAAGCAUCAGACAGCAUUGCCGGUACCUUGCUCAUGCCCGCUAAGUAUGCCCAGUGAUGAAAGCAGUCAAUUAAAAAAAUCUAAAAAUUA